UUGAAUUAAAUGCAUCUUGCAAAGAGAAAGAAAUACAAUGAAAUAUUCAACUUUUUUUUUACUUUUUCUAGUAAAUUUUUCAGAAAUAAACAUUCCAACCGUGGCUGGCUAUGAAAAAGAGAAGUGUGAUGCAAUUCACAGUAAUGGAGGACCUUGCCGGAUACAGCCCACAACGAUGUGGACUUUCAUAAAACGACAGAAAAGAUGCAUUGAUAUUGAUUAUUUUGGAUGCCCGGACACAAAAAACAUAUUUAAGUCGGAAGACGAAUGCCGGAAAGCUUGUUCAUUCGUUUUUUUUCAAUAAAUCCAAUGUUAAUAA